GACGAACGCUGGCGGCGUGCUUAACACAUGCAAGUCGAACGGUGAAGGGGUCUGCUUUUGUGGGCCCUGGAUGAGUGGCGAACGGGUGAGUAACACGUGAGUAACCUGCCCCCUUCUUCUGGAUAACCGCAUGAAAGUGUGGCUAAUACGGGAUAUUCUGGGUCUGUCGCAUGAUGGGUCUGGGAAAGAUUGCGCCUUUGGGUGUUUUUGGUGGGGGAUGGGCUCGCGGCCUAUCAGCUUGUUGGUGGGGUGAUGGCCUACCAAGGCGGGGACGGGUAGCCGGCCUGAGAGGGUGGACGGUCACACUGGGACUGAGACACGGCCCAGAAUCCUACGGGAGGCAGCAGUGGGGAAUAUUGCACAAUGGGCGCAAGCCUGAUGCAGCGACGCCGCGUGAGGGAUGGAGGCCUUCGGGUUGUAAACCUCUUUCGCCAGUGAAGCAGGCCUGCUCCUUGUGGGUGGGUUGACGGUAGCUGGAGAAGAAGCGCCGGCUAACUACGUG
rnacentral:rRNA from 1 species